rnacentral:rRNA from 1 species
UACGGGGGGGGCAAGCGUUGUUCGGAAUUACUGGGCGUAAAGCGCACGUAGGCGGUCUUUUAAGUCGGGGGUGAAAUCCUGGAGCUCAACUCCAGAACUGCCUUCGAUACUGGAAGACUUGAGUCCGGGAGAGGUGAGUGGAACUGCGAGUGUAGAGGUGAAAUUCGUAGAUAUUCGCAAGAACACCAGUGGCGAAGGCGGCUCACUGGCCCGGUACUGACGCUGAGGUGCGAAAGCGUGGGGAGCAAACAGG